rnacentral:lncRNA from 1 species
CGGUCUUAGGACCGACUAAUCCAAGGGGACCAAUCCCACCGCCCACUUGUGGGGGCCCCAUUUAAAGCCAGAGUUUUUUUUGCUCUGUAUGGACUUAGCCCACCGAAAUUGGAACCAGUGGGAAUCGAACCUGAGACCUUGAGAGGAGCAUACUCCAAGGGCCCAAGCCAACACCACUCGACCAACCCCAAGUGGGUUAAUUGUCU